rnacentral:rRNA from 1 species
UACGUAGGGGGGCUAGCGUUGUCCGGAAUUAUUGGGCGUAAAGAGCUCGUAGGCGGUCUGUUACGUCUGCUGUGAAAACCCGCAGCUCAACUGUGGGCUUGCAGCCGAUACGGGCGGGCUUGGAUUCGGUAGGGGAGACUGGAAUUCCUGGUGUAGCGGUGAAAUGCGCAGAUAUCAGGAGGAACACCGGUGGCGAAGGCGGGUCUCUGGGCCGAUAUCGACGCUGAGGAGCGAAAGCGUGGGGAGCGAACAGG